UGGGAUGACCAACACUGGUAGGUAGAGACAGACUGGGAUGACCAACACUGGUAGGCAGAGAGACUGGGAUGACCAACACUGGUAGGCAGAGAGACUGGGAUGACCAACACUGGUAGGUAGAGACAGACUGGGAUGACCAACACUGGUAGGUAGAGACAGACUGGGAUGACCAACACUGGUAGGUAGAGACAGACUGGGAUGACCAACACUGGUAGGCAGAGAGACUGGGAUGGCCAACACUGGUAGGUAGAGAGACUGGGAUGACCAACACUGGUAGGUAGAGACAGACUGGGAUGACCAACACUGGUAGGUAGAGACAGACUGGGAUGACCAACACUGGUAGGUAGAGACAGACUGGGAUGACCAACACUGGUAGGUAGAGACAGACUGGGAUGACCAACACUGGUAGGUAGAGACAGACUGGGAUGACCAACACUGGUAGGCAGAGAGACUGGGAUGGCCAACACUGGUAGGUAGAGAGACUGGGAUGACCAACACUGGUAGGUAGAGAGACUGGGAUGACCAACACUGGUAGGUAGAGACAGACUGGGAUGACCAACACUGGUAGGUAGAGACAGACUGGGAUGACCAACACUGGUAGGUAGAGAGACUGGGAUGACCAACACUGGUAGGUAGAGAGACUGGGAUGACCAACACUGGUAGGUAGAGACAGACUGGGAUGACCAACACUGGUAGGUAGAGACAGACUGGGAUGACCAACAAUGGUAGGUAGAGACAGACUGGGAUGACCAACACUGGUAGGCAGACAGACUGGGAUGACCAACACUGGUAGGUAGAGACAGACUGGAUGACCAACACUGGUAGCUUGGCAUGUAAAGGCGAGGAAGAUGCCAAUGCCACUACAGUAUAUCUCCAUGGAAGUAUGAACCCCCAUAGCUAGCUACAGUUGGGCUCAAUUCCAUUUCAAUUCCAGUCA
ensembl:lncRNA